GUCUGACUGCAAGAAGAGGCAUUUCAGUCUCUGGAAGAUCUCCAGCUGCAGAAAUAUGAGUCAUGACUUUAACACCUCUCUGGAGUCAUGCCACGUGCCGGCCUGCUUCAAAUCUUCCACCAUUGUCCCCGUCCCCAAGAAGCCACGGAUCACAGGACUCAACGACUACAGACCUGUGGCGCUCACCUCUGUAGUCAUGAAGUCCUUUGAGCGCCUGGUCCUGUCCCACCUCAAGACCAUCACCACCCCUCUCCUGGACUCACUGCAGUUCGCCUACAGAGCCAACAGGUCUGUGGAUGACGCAGUCAACCUGGCCCUCCACUCCAUCCUGCAGCACCUGGACUCCCCAGGAACCUACGCCAGGAUCCUGUUUGUGGACUUCAGCUCUGCUUUCAACACCAUCCGCCCUGCUCUACUCCAGGACAAGCUGUCCCAGCUCAACGUGCCCGACUCCCUCUGCAGGUGGAUCAUCGACUUCCUGACGGACCGUAGGCAGCACGUGCGGCUGGGGAAGACUGUCUCGGACUCUGUGAGCAUCAGCAUCGGUUCCCCCCAGGGCUGUGUACUUUUCCCCCUGCUCUUCUCCCUGUACACCAACUGCUGCACCUCCAGCCACCAGUCUGUGAAGCUGCUGAAGUUCGUAGACGACACCACCCUCAUCGGGCUCAUCUCAGACGGUGAUGAGUCCUUCUACAGGAGGGAGGUGACCCGGCUGGU
ensembl:lncRNA